rnacentral:rRNA from 1 species
AUUGAACGCUGGCGGCAGGCUUAACACAUGCAAGUCGAGCGGAGAUGAGGUGCUUGCACCUUAUCUUAGCGGCGGACGGGUGAGUAAUGCUUAGGAAUCUGCCUAUUAGUGGGGGACAACAUUCCGAAAGGAAUGCUAAUACCGCAUACGUCCUACGGGAGAAAGCAGGGGAUCUUCGGACCUUGCGCUAAUAGAUGAGCCUAAGUCGGAUUAGCUAGUUGGUGGGGUAAAGGCCUACCAAGGCGACGAUCUGUAGCGGGUCUGAGAGGAUGAGCCGCCACACUGGGACUGGAACGCGGCCCAGACUCCUACGGGAGGCAGCAGUGGGGAAUAUUGGACAAUGGGGGGAACCCUGAUCCAGCCAUGCCGCGUGUGUGAAGAAGGCCUUAUGGUUGUAAAGCACUUUAAGCGAGGAGGAGGCUACUGAGACUAAUACUCUUGGAUAGUGGACGUUACCCGCAGAAUAAGCACCGGCUAACUCUGUGCCAGCCGCCGCGGUAAAAC